GUAGAUCAUUUUGAACUCAAUGCAUAAGUACCAGCCAAGGGUGCACAUCAUUAAGAAGAAAGACCACACAGCCUCAUUGCUCAACCUGAAGUCUGAAGAAUUUAGAACUUUCAUCCUUCCAGAAACAGUUUUUACGGCAGUCACUGCCUACCAGAAUAGAUAACGAAGCUGAAAAUAGAUAGCAAUCCUUUUGCCAAAGGAUUCUGGGAUUCCUCCAGGCUCACUGACCUUGAGGGAAAGUGUGGAGAGCCUGAUUCAAAAGCAUUCCAAUGCACCUUCACCCAUCCGUACCUAUGGAGGAGAAGAAGAUGUCUUGGGGGAUGAGAGUCAGACAACCCCAAAUCGUCAGCCUUUACAACAUCUGAUAAUUUGUCUCUCAGCUCCUGGGUAUCAUCUUCUUCCAGUUUUCCUGGGUUUCAGCACCCACAGUCCCUGACUGCUCUUGGCACCAGCACAGCAUCCAUAGCAACACCCAUUCCUCACCCCAUCCAGGGUUCUCUGCCGCCAUAUAGCCGACUGGGAAUGCCUUUGACCCCAUCGGCCAUUGCCAGCUCCAUGCAAGGGAGUGGCCCCACAUUCCCUUCAUUCCACAUGCCGCGAUACCAUCACUAUUUUCAGCAGGGGCCCUAUGCUGCCAUUCAAGGACUACGCCAUUCCUCUGCUGUGAUGAUGCCAUUUG
rnacentral:lncRNA from 1 species